rnacentral:rRNA from 1 species
AUUAAGAGCUUGCUCUUAUGAAGUUAGCGGCGGACGGGUGAGUAACACGUGGGUAACCUGCCCAUAAGACUGGGAUAACUCCGGGAAACCGGGGCUAAUACCGGAUAACAUUUUGAACUGCAUGGUUCGAAAUUGAAAGGCGGCUUCGGCUGUCACUUAUGGAUGGACCCGCGUCGCAUUAGCUAGUUGGUGAGGUAACGGCUCACCAAGGCAACGAUGCGUAGCCGACCUGAGAG